CCUACGGGUGGCAGCAGUGGGGGAUAUUGCACAAUGGGGGCAACCCUGAUGCAGCGACGCCGCGUGAGCGAUGGAGUACUUCGGUAUGUAAAGCUCUGUCAGCAGGGAAGAGAAUGACGGUACCUGACCAAGAAGCCCCGGCUAAAUACGUGCCAGCAGCCGCGGUAAUACGUAUGGGGCAAGCGUUAUCCGGAUUUACUGGGUGUAAAGGGAGCGUAGGCGGCAGGGCAAGCCUGAUGUGAAAGCCCGGGGCUCAACCUCGGUGCUACUACCAAAACUGUUGAACUUGAGUGCAGGAGGGGUGAAUGGAAUUCCCAGUGUAGCGGUGGAAUGCGUAGAUAUUGGGAAGAACACCAGCGGCGAAGGCGAUUCACUGGACUGUAACUGACACUGAGGCACGAAAGCGUGGGGAGCAAACAGGAUUAGAUACCCUAGUAGUC
rnacentral:rRNA from 1 species